AGUCAUACGCUCGUCUCAAAGAUUAAGCCAUGCAUGUCUAAGUAUAAAUCUUUUACUUUGAAACUGCGAACGGCUCAUUAUAUCAGUUAUAAUUUAUUGGAUAGUCCCUUACUACUUGGAUAACCGUAGUAAUUCUAGAGCUAAUACAUGCGUCAAUACCCCUCGUGGGUAGCAAUUAUUAGAUUGAAACCAACCCCUUUGGGGUGAUGUGGUGAUUCAUAAUAAUAGUGCGGAUCGCACGGCUCACGCCGGCGACGGAUCUUUCAAGUUUCUGCCCUAUCAGCUUUGGAUGGUACGGUAUUGGCCUACCAUGGCUUUAACGGGUAACGGGAAAUUAGGGUUUGAUUCCGGAGAGGGGGCCUGAGAGAUGGCCACCACAUCCAAGGAAGGCAGCAGGCGCGUAAAUUACCCAAUCCUGACACAGGGAGGUAGUGACAAUAAAUAACAAUGCCGGGCCUUUGUAGGUCUGGCAAUUGGAAUGAGAACAAUUUAAACCCCUUAUCGAGGAUCAAU
rnacentral:rRNA from 1 species